rnacentral:misc_RNA from 1 species
GAUGGAGAACGCAGCGAAAUGCGAUAAGUAAUGUGAAUUGCAGAAUUCAGUGAAUCAUCGAAUCUUUGAACGCACAUUGCGCCCCCUGGUAUUCCGGGGGGCAUGCCUGUCCGAGCGUCAUUGCUGCCCUCAAGCACGGCUUGUGUGUUGGGCCUCCGUCCUCCUCCCGGGGGACGGGCCCGAAAGGCAGCGGCGGCACCGCGUCCGGUCCUCGAGCGUAUGGGGCUUCGUCACCCGCUCUUGUAGGCCCGGCCGGCGCUUGCCGACACAUCAAUCUUUUUUCCAGGUUGACCUCGGAUCAGGUAGGGAUACCCGCUGAACUUAAGCAUAUCAAUAAGCGGAGGA